ACGAACGAGUAGCCAUAUAUCAAAAAUUCAGUGUUACGAGGGAAACUUGGCUUUGAAAGGCUUCUCUGGAUUAGUUACGAAAUAGUUUAGUUACCCACUGGAGGUAGGGAUUCUGCAGUCGGGUUUCCCCUUUGGACCAAGCAUGUCGUUCCCACUUUACACCGCUAUUGUAAUUCAGAUACUACUGGUUGUUAUACUUUAUAACUUUCUACCUAUUUCAUCUGCGAAAGAAUUCAACGAAGCCCCUUUGAUUUCAACAAGUUUUGGUCAAGUUAGAGGUAAAUUAGACUUAUCUCAAAAUGGAAAGGUAUAUGCCCAGUAUUUAGGGAUUCCAUAUGCUCAACCACCGAUUGGAUCCAGAAGAUUUAAGCGCCCUGAACCUUAUGAGGGGGUAUGGCGUCAAGCCCGAGAUGGUACAAAACCACCCACUCCAUGUAUUCAAAAGAGUAAAAAGGAAUCAGGAAAGAUGAUCGGCAAAGAAGAUUGCUUGAUCCUUAAUGUCUACAAACCAGGAUCUUGCACGGGUAUCUCGAAAUGCGCUGUUUUGGUUUGGAUUCACCCGGGUGGUUAUUCUUCAAUGGAUGGCUCGCCA